CCACGCAGAGGAAGCUCCAGUAAUAAAUUCAGACCUCAGGAGAGGGUGGGUUCUUUGACCAAGACGAUAGCCACGGUUAAGGUCUCCUGUUCUCAGACCUGUCCCGUUGGUGACUUUCUACAUCCUGGUCCUACUUUUCUGUUUGUUUGUCUUUUGAAUAGGCAAUGCAGUCACAUGGUUCAAAGUCUAAGGGAUAGAAAGGGAUGCCUGAGGAAACACGCUGAAGGCUCUCCCUCACCCCCCACCCCAUCCAUCCUGAAGACUUCUGCCCUGCUGGUUUCCAUAUCUCUUUCCAGUGUUUGUUUCAAGGGGAGAGCACGAGGAAGAACAGGAGUGUUGGAUUUGCCUGGAGAACAGGAGUGUUGGAUUUGCCUGGAGAACAGGAGUGUUGGAUUUGCCUGAGGUGGCAUCGGGUGCUCUCUGGGGGAUCAGGAGGUACCACAGGCUUCCCUCCAGGACUGCAGGAUGAAGAGGACUACUGCCUCAGAUGGGACUUCCCUGAGUGGGAGCACCCUGCCCUGCAACUCUAACAGCAGGAUCCAUGCGAGAGACCAACAGAAUCCGGAAGAGAACAGCAGAUGCCUCGAACUGGAGUCACAGAUGGUUGUGAGAUGCCAUGUUGGUGCUGGGAAUUGAAUUUGGGUUCUCUGGACUAUCCAUUCCUGUCUAUCUCUGGUUUUUGACAGGGAGUUAUGUAGCCCAGACUGACCUCGAGCUAUGUAACUAAGGAUGACUUUGACCUUCUGGUCCUCCUGCCCCUGCCUCUUGAAUGUUGGGGUCACAGACAAGCAUAACCACACAUCAUAUACGUGGUGCAGACGAUGAACCCAGUGGCUUUAUGCAUGCAAGAUUUCUGAGACUGGGUCUUGCUUCACAGCCCAAGCUGGCCUCCAAUUUAUAAUCCUUCUGUCCCGGUGCUGAGACUACAGGAACUACAGGAGUCUGCCACCAGUCUUGACUGGCGCUCUCUUCUCUUCCUCAUGCCCUCCACACCAUACACGAUUUCCCUACAA